rnacentral:rRNA from 1 species
UGCAGUCGAGCGAAUGGAUUAGAGAGCUUGCUCUUAUGAAGUUAGCGGCGGACGGGUGAGUAACACGUGGGUAACCUGCCCAUAAGACUGGGAUAACUCCGGGAAACCGGGGCUAAUACCGGAUAAUAUUUUGAACUGCAUGGUUCGAAAUUGAAAGGCGGCUUCGGCUGUCACUUAUGGAUGGACCCGCGUCGCAUUAGCUAGUUGGUGAGGUAACGGCUCACCAAGGCAACGAUGCGUAGCCGACCUGAGAGGGUGAUCGGCCACACUGGGACUGACACAAAAACAAAAACUUAUACGGGAGGCAGCAGUAGGGAAUCUUCCGCAAUGGACGAAAGUCUGACGGAGCAACGCCGCGUGAGUGAUGAAGGCUUUCGGGUCGUAAAACUCUGUUGUUAGGGAAGAACAAGUGCUAGUUGAAUAAGCUGGCACCUUGACGGUACCUAACCAGAAAGCCACGGCUAACUACGUGCCAGCAGCCGCGGUAAUACGUAGGUGGCAAGCGUUAUCCGGAAUUAUUGGGCGUAAAGCGCGCGCAGUUUUUUUCUUAAGUCUGAUGUGAAAGCCCACGGCUCAACCGUGGAGGGUCAUUGGAAACUGGGAGACUUGAGUGCAGAAGAGGAAAGUGGAAUUCCAUGUGUAGCGGUGAA